rnacentral:rRNA from 1 species
AUUGAACGCUGGCGGCAGGCCUAACACAUGCAAGUCGAGCGGAUGAAGUGAGCUUGCUCCCUGAUUUAGCGGCGGACGGGUGAGUAAUGCCUAGGAAUCUGCCUGGUAGUGGGGGAUAACGUUCCGAAAGGAACGAUAAUACCGCGUACGUCCUACGGGAGAAAGCAGGGGACCUUCGGGCCUCGCGCUAUCAGAUGAGCCAAGGUCGGCUUAGAUAGUUGGUGAGGUAAUGGCUCAGCAAGGCGACGAUCCGUAACUGGUCUGAGAGGAUGAUCAGUCACACUGGAACUGAGACACGGUCCAGACUCCUACGGGAGGCAGCAGUGGGGAAUAUUGGACAAUGGGCGAAAGCCUGAUCCAGCCAUGCCGCGUGUGUGAAGAAGGUCUUCGGAUUGUAAAGCACUUUAAGUUGGGAGGAAGGGCUGUUGGUUAAUACCCUGCAGUUUUGACGUUACCAACAGAAUAAGCACCGGCUAACUUCGUGCCAGCAGCCGCCGUAACAC